CCCCAAGAAUAUGAAGGAAAGAUGAAGAAUAUUACUACUCCCUCGGAUGAAAGUAGGAAUGAGAGUAAAGCAUCUAAUGUAGACCCUGUAGGUGAACUGACGUUUUCCCUCCAGAGCUCCAAGAAGGAUAAUCAAAGCUCAUCAAUGCAACUGAGCUCAUUCAGUAAUGGAAAGUUCCGUGCUGACAAGCAUUAGACAAUGGGAAAGUAAGUUCAAGUCUAUGCCUCCCAAAACUUGGCUUAAGCUGGUCUAAUUCUGGGCUUUUCUUUUUCUUUUUUCUUUUUAAGAGUGAAUUCUUAUUGCACAUGCGCUGUGGAGGUGAAUAUGAUGUCAUUUUGGUAACUAUUACAAGAUUUAGAGGAAGAAGGAAUUGAACAAUA